AGUUGGUCAGGAUAGUCCUCUGUUCACGGAAGGAUGUCUGAGGAAUUUUUUAAUCUCUUCAGAAGGUUUUAGGAGCAGAUACAUGAAAAACAUUCCGAGACCUUGUUUAUACCAUCUGUUCAUCUUCAUGUGACCUAAAGUUCUGCAGGCUCUAUUGUAGGCACUAGGAAAACAACAAUGAAAAAAAAACAGACAAAACCCUUGCCCUCAUGGAGCUUCCAUUCAAGUGAAGAAAAGAGACAAUACAUAUAAAAUGGUAUAAGAUGAUACAUUAUACUAUACAAUGCUAACAUCUUUUAAACCAGAUUUUGUAUCCUUCCCUGGGACCAUCUCCCUGCUGAGUGGUCCCUGCACUGGCUAUACUUGCAGGGCUUAUACUCAUGCUCUGUAACAUUUUCUGUUACAGAAUCUUCCUGCUGCUCACCGAAGCCUUAAUUUCUUA